UACGUAGGGCGCAAGCGUUGUCCGGAAUUAUUGGGCGUAAAGAGCUCGUAGGCGGUCUGUCGCGUCGGUCGUGAAAACUUGGGGCUUAACCCUGAGCUUGCGGUCGAUACGGGCAUGACUGGAGUUCGGCAGGGGAGACUGGAAUUCCGGGUGUAGCGGUGGAAUGCGUAGAGAUCCGGAAGAACACCGGUGGCGAAGGCGGUGAGCUGGGGCAGUUGCUGACACUGAGGCGCGACAGCGUGGGGAGCAAACAGGG
rnacentral:rRNA from 1 species